rnacentral:lncRNA from 1 species
CUUAAUUUUGACCAGGAAUUGGAUACUUUCUAACAUGAAGCAUUUAGUUCCAGUUCACACAACUUUAGGAACAGGAUAUAAAAACAAAUAAGUCGGAAAAUAUAGAGGUAGUAAUGAAAGAUGAUUAGAGUUGAAACAAAAUCAUACAUUAAAUUUAACAGUCAAUGGUCAGUCUGCUUAAGUACAGGAAAACAAUUAAUCUCAACACUCCUGAAAAUAGCAAAUUAUUGUCAACAAUUAAAUAUAAAAAAGAAGAUUUGGUAUGAUUGCCAAUGAGACAACUAUCCACAAAAGACCAAAAUGACAAAGACAUUAACAACUAUAGGUCACCGUACGGCCUUCAACAAUGAGCAAAGCCCAUACCGCAUAGUCAGCUAUAAAAGGUCCCGAUAAGACAAUAUAAAACAAUUCAAACGAGAAAACAAACGGCCUUAUUGAGCGUAAAACAAAUAUGUAACACAUAAACAAACGACAACCACUGAAUAUACAGGCUCCUGACUUGGGACAGGCACAUACAUAAAUAACGUGGCGGGGUUAAACAUGUUAGCGGGAUGCUAACCCUCCCCUAACCUGGGACAGUGGUAUAACAGUACAACAUAAGAACGAACUAUAAAAAUCAGUUGAAAAAGGCUUAACUCAUCAGAUGGACAAAAAUAUAAGUGGACGUGGCCGGGUACUUAUACAUCCCGACACAAAAAGACACAAUGAACAGAUCUGAGAGUACUCGUAGUUAUCUGAUAGCUAGUUCAAAGCCACUAACAACUAAUAAAAACAAAACUGCUUAAAGAUAAGAUAUAGCCCAAGGAC